rnacentral:rRNA from 1 species
GACAGAGGGGGCAAGCGUUGUUCGGAAUUACUGGGCGUAAAGCGCACGUAGGCGGACAUUUAAGUCAGGGGUGAAAUCCCGGAGCUCAACUCCGGAACUGCCUUUGAUACUGGGUGUCUUGAGUGUGGAAGAGGUGAGUGGAAUUCCGAGUGUAGAGGUGGAAUUCGUAGAUAUUAGGAAGAACACCAGUGGCGAAGGCGGCUCACUGGUCCGGUACUGACGCUGAGGUGCGAAAGCGUGGGGAGCAAACAGG